AUACGGAGGGUGCGAGCGUUAAUCGGAAUUACUGGGCGUAAAGCGUACGUAGGCGGUUGGUUAAGUUAGAUGUGAAAGCCCCGGGCUUAACCUGGGAACUGCAUUUAAAACUGGCGAACUAGAGUUGAGUAGAGGGGAGUGGAAUUUCAGGUGUAGCGGUGAAAUGCGUAGAGAUCUGAAGGAACACCAGUGGCGAAGGCGACUCCCUGGACUCGAACUGACGCUGAGGUACGAAAGCGGGGGUAGCAAACGGGAUUAGAUACCCUAGUAGUCC
rnacentral:rRNA from 1 species